rnacentral:rRNA from 1 species
UACGGAGGGUGCAAGCGUUAAUCGGAAUUACUGGGCGUAAAGCGUGCGCAGGCGGUUUGUUAAGUCUGUUGUGAAAUCCCCGAGCUCAACUUGGGAAUUGCAAUGGAUACUGGCAGGCUGGAGUAUGGUAGAGGAAGGUGGAAUUCCCGGUGUAGCAGUGAAAUGCGUAGAGAUCGGGAGGGACACCAGUGGCGAAGGCGGCCUUCUGGACCAAUACUGACGCUCAUGCACGAAAGCGUGGGGAGCAAACAGG